rnacentral:lncRNA from 1 species
UUAAAUCUCCGUCCUGGAGCUCAACCCUUCAUUAUUGGUUUGUUCACAAACCCUCUCUCUUUCUCUUUUAUAAUCGCCUCUGCUUCCUCUUCUGGCUCUGUUAAAAACUCCUCCUCUUUCCUCCAUGACUACCCUCCUACAAAAAAUGUUGAAAGGUACUGCUUCCGGCUACUCACUCCUUCAGCAAACCCACACCCACGCGGGAAACAACCGCGGUAGAGGUUAUGCGGCCGCCUCUAGCUCCGCCAGGCGUGCUGUGGGUGCUCUUCUUCCUCCGUCGUCGGCCGUCGUUGCAUUUUCUCUGAUAUGUGUACUAUUGGCCCAACGCCGGAAUCAAGUCGCCUCCAUCUCGAAAGACCUGAACGAGGCGGUGGAGAAAAUGAAUGAGUUAACAGAGGUCGUUCACAGUUUGAGAUAUGAACUGGAGAAGGGAAAGUGAAGAAAAGAAGGAAGAAGCUUAGGGUUACACUUUAUGUUGCUGUUUCCGGUUAAUUCAUUGCUUAGUUUGGAUGAACAUGUGUAGAGUUAUGGCUUUUACAGAGCAACAAAAAAUCGAAUUCAGUUGGUUUUGUUGCUCCAGUGUUUCUUUUACUGUGUAAUUUUAGUAAAUGCUGAAAAUGGUUAAGAAAAGAACUCAUUUCCAUUCAUUUCUUCUCAUUCUUUUUAAGAAGAGAUGUUAUUUUACGUUUUCCGGUUUGAUUACUUUAUGGUUUGGUUUUAAUUGUUUGGCUUGGGCAAGAGAAAUUCUUAGUAAUUGAAAAUAUUGGUAUAGUUUUCAUCCCAGAUCUGAAUUAUCAUUUACUAGUCAGUUUAACUGAUCUUGUUUUGGAGAUGAUACUAUAUGUAAAUAUAAAUCUUGGUGAUGAAUUGUUAAUCAUCUCAGUUACAUUAUGAGAAAAGGAUUGCAAAUCAUGCUUUUAGUAUUUUCCUUCUUGUUCUUCAUUUUUUUGGUUUUCAGUUUAUCCAGGGUCAAGCCAUAAUUUGCAGAGAUCUUGUGUUCCUUUCUCUGGCAUCUAUGGAGUGCAUCCAUUUUACUUUCUUGGGCUUGUAUCUGAAAAAGAAAAGGGGCGCCUCUGAAAUUCAGUUUACUAGGUCACAUAAAAAAUCAUCUUUUCUUAUUCAGCUAUCAGUAUCUUUCAGUAGAGCUACUUAUCUAAUAUAUAUAUAUUAGAAUUUAUUUUGCAUUUGGACUGAAUUGUUUAGUCUGGCCUUUCUUCUAGCAAUCUAUUGUAAUUCACCACCAGUGUUUUAGAUUCUUAGUGGGUAAAAGUAAUUCAAUGGCUUGCUUAUAAACUUGUCAUUGCACUCUUAUUUCUUCAAAAGUUCUCAAUGAAUGUACCACAUAGGUUUCAUGUUUGCAUCUAAUGUUGGCCUAAUGGCUUCAAAGUUGAC